AUUGAACGCUGGCGGCAUGCCUUACACAUGCAAGUCGAACGGCAGCACGGGAGCAAUCCUGGUGGCGAGUGGCGAACGGGUGAGUAAUAUAUCGGAACGUGCCCAAUCGUGGGGGAUAACGCAGCGAAAGCUGUGCUAAUACCGCAUACGAUCUACGGAUGAAAGCGGGGGAUCGCAAGACCUCGCGCGAUUGGAGCGGCCGAUAUCAGAUUAGCUAGUUGGUGGGGUAAAAGCCCACCAAGGCGACGAUCUGUAGCUGGUCUGAGAGGACGACCAGCCACACUGGAACUGAGACACGGUCCAGACUCCUACGGGAGGCAGCAGUGGGGAAUUUUGGACAAUGGGCGCAAGCCUGAUCCAGCAAUGCCGCGUGCAGGAUGAAGGCCUUCGGGUUGUAAACUGCUUUGUACGGAACGAAACGGCGAGCUCUAAUACAGUUUGCUAAUGACGGUACCGUAAGAAUAAGCACCGGCUAACUACGUGCCAGCAG
rnacentral:rRNA from 1 species